UCAGGUCUCUAUCAGGUCUCUAGGGUCUCUAUCAGGUCUCUAUGAGGUCUCUAUCAGGUCUCUAUGAGGUCUCUAUCAGGUCUCUAUGAGGUAUCUAUAAGGUCUAUAUGGUCUCUAGGGUCUCUAUCAGGUCUCUAUGAGGUCUCUAUGAGGUCUCUAUCAGGUCUCUAUCAGGUCUCUAUCAGGUCUCUAUCAGGUCUCUAUCAGGUCUCUAUGGUAUCUAUCAGGUCUAUAUGGUCUCUAUCAGGUCUCUAUAUGGU